rnacentral:rRNA from 1 species
UGGGGAAUCUUGCGCAAUGGGCGGAAGCCUGACGCAGCAACGCCGCGUGCGGGAAGAAGGCCUUAGGGUCGUAAACCGCUUUCAGGGGGGACGAAGCUUCCGGGGUUAAUAGCCUACGGGGUGGCGGUACUCCCAAAAGAAGGUCCGGCUAACUACGUGCCAGCAGCCGCGGUAAUACGUAGGGACCGAGCGUUGUCCGGAAUCAUUGGGCGUAAAGAGCGUGUAGGCGGCUUGGUAGGUCUCGUGUGA